rnacentral:rRNA from 1 species
AUUGAACGCUGGCGGCAUGCCUUACACAUGCAAGUCGAACGGUAACGCGGGGCAACCUGGCGACGAGUGGCGAACGGGUGAGUAAUGCAUCGGAACGUGCCCGGUAGUGGGGGAUAACUGCUCGAAAGAGCAGCUAAUACCGCAUACGACCUGAGGGUGAAAGGGGGGGAUCGCAAGACCUCUCGCUAUCGGAGCGGCCGAUGUCGGAUUAGCUUGUUGGUGGGGUAAAGGCCCACCAAGGCGACGAUCCGUAGCUGGUCGGAGAGGACGACCAGCCGCCCUGGGACUGAGACACGGCCCAGGCUCCUACGGGAGGCAGCAGUGGGGAAUUUUGGACAAUGGGCGCAAGCCGGACCCAGCCAUGCCGCGUGCGGGAAGAAGGCCUUCGGGUUGUAAACCGCUUUUGUCAGGGAAGAAAUCUUCUGGGUUAAUACCUCGGGAGGAUGACGGUACCUGAAGAAUAAGCACCGGCUAACUACGUGCCAGCCGCCGCCGUAAGAC